rnacentral:rRNA from 1 species
CCUACGGGAGGCAGCAGUGAGGAAUAUUGGUCAAUGGACGAGAGUCUGAACCAGCCAAGUAGCGUGAAGGAUGACUGCCCUACGGGUUGUAAACUUCUUUUGUAAAGGAAUAAAACGACGCUCGUGUUCCUUUUUGCAUGUACUUUAUGAAUAAGGAUCGGCUAACUCCGUGCCAGCAGCCGCGGUAAUACGGAGGAUCCGAGCGUUAUCCGGAUUUAUUGGGUUUAAAGGGGGCGUAUAUGGGUUGUUAAGUCAGUUGUGAAAGGUUGCGGCUCAACCGUAAAAUUGCAAUUGAUACUGGCAGUCUUGAGUACAGUUGAGGUAGGCGGAAUUCGUGGUGUAGCGGUGAAAUGCUUAGAUAUCACGAAGAACCCCGAUUGCGAAGGCAGCUUACUAAACUGUAACUGACAUUGAUGCUCGAAAGUGUGGGUAUCAAACAGGAUUAGAUACCCCAGUAGUC